UUCAAGUGUGCUUGGUGUUACAAAAACCUUGCAUUCCAGAAAGAGAAAAAAGAAGUCUAAGGGGGUUGAUAGAGUAAUAGAAGAGACAGACACGGUGCAAAGGGACCAAUCUCGUUUAGUUGCAACGGCUCAGGCUCUACCGGAAAUUGAGUCAAUCACUACUUGUGAGCUUAUAUGGCCAUUCGACGAUUCCUUCCCCAACAUGAUUUUAGGACAUGGGCAAGCUUAUCCGUCUUCUGAUAGGAUCUUA